rnacentral:sRNA from 1 species
GACGCGGCGGUUCGCUGCCCGCGACGUUGUGAGAAGUCCACUGAACCUUAUCAUUUAGAGGAAGGAGAAGUCGUAACAAGGUUUCCGUAGGUGAACCUGCGGAAGGAUCAUUGUCGAUGCCUCGCAAUCAAUCAGACCGGCGAACUCGUUUAUCUACUCGGGGGUCGGUUCGGGGCGCUCGACGCCUCGACCUCCCCCUGCGUCGGGAGGCGGCCGUGCCUUGCGGCCCGGCCUCUUCUCGGCGAACACAAACCCCGGCGCUUCGUGCGCCAAGGAAUCCAAAACUGUUCGGUGCAGUCCCGGGGACCCGGAGACGGUGUUCCUGCGGGUCUUGUCACGACACGCGAUAUCAAACGACUCUCGGCAACGGAUAUCUCGGCUCUUGCAUCGAUGAAGAACGUAGCGAAAUGCGAUACUUGGUGUGAAUUGCAGAAUCCCGUGAACCAUCGAGUCUUUGAACGCAAGUUGCGCCCGAGGCCAUUAGGCUGAGGGCACGCCUGCCUGGGUGUCACACAUCGUUACCUCGCGCAAACGUCUCGCGGCUGUGCAGGGUGUAUGCUGGCCUCCCGCGAGCACCGUCUCGCGGUUGGUCGAAAAUCGAGUUCGCGGACGGGCGCGCCGCGAUAAAAUGGUGGAUGGGCAACGCCCGAGACCGAUCGCGUGCGGCCCUGUCCGGCGAGAACUCCCCGACCCCCGCGCGUCCCCGGACGCUCUCGGCGAGACCUCAGGUCAGGCGGGGCUACCCGCUGAGUUUAAGCAUAUCAAUAAGCGGAGGAAAAGAAACUAACAAGGAUUCCCCUA